rnacentral:rRNA from 1 species
CCUACGGGGGGCAGCAGUGGGGGAUAUUGCACAAUGGGGGGAACCCUGAUGCAGCGACGCCGCGUGGGUGAAGAAGCGCCUCGGCGCGUAAAGCCCUGUCAGCAGGGAAGAAAAUGACGGUACCUGAAGAAGAAGCCCCGGCUAACUACGUGCCAGCAGCCGCGGGAAUACGUAGGGGGCAAGCGUUAUCCGGAUUUACUGGGUGUAAAGGGGGCGCAGACGGCGAUGCAAGCCAGGAGGGAAAGCCCGGGGCCCAACCCCGGGACAGCUCUUGGAACUGCGUGGCUGGAGUGCAGGAGGGGCAGGCGGAAUGCCUGGUGUAGCGGUGAAAUGCGUAGAUAUCAGGAGGAACACCGGUGGCGAAGGCGGCCUGCUGGACUGCAACUGACGUUGAGGCCCGAAAGCGUGGGGAGCAAACAGGAUUAGAUACCCGAGUAGUC